CCUACGGGAGGCUGCAGUAGGGAAUUUUCGGCAAUGGGGGGAACCCUGACCGAGCAACGCCGCGUGAACGAAGAAGUUAUUCGUAAUGUAAAGUUCUUUUAACAGGGAAGAAAGAGAAAUUUGACGGUACCUGAAGAAUAAGCCCCGGCUAACUACGUGCCAGCAGCCGCGGUAAUACGUAGGGAGCGAGCGUUAUCCGGAAUUAUUGGGCGUAAAGGGUGCGUAGGUGGCAUAGUAAGUCUUUUGUAAAAAUGCUGGGCUAAACCCAGUAGGGCAAAAGAAACUGGAAAGUUUGAGUGUGCCAGAGGCAAGUGGAAGUACAUGUGUAGCGGUAAAAUGCGUAGAUAUAUGUAAGAACACCGGUGGCGAAGGCAGCUUACUGGGUCGAUACUGACGUUGAGGCACGAAAGCGUGGGGAGCGAACAGGAUUAGAUACCCCUGUAGUC
rnacentral:rRNA from 1 species